rfam:Xenopus laevis strain J chromosome 3L, whole genome shotgun sequence.
GGUGCUGUGGCUUAGUUGGUUAAAGCGCGUGUCUUGUAAACAGAAGAACCUGAGUUCAAGUCUCAGCAGUGCCU